AAAUAAUCUAGAUAGCUAGAUAACGUCGUAUAGUCAGGGAAGGGUGACUGCUCCAAAGAUGGAUACAUACGUCCUGUUUUUGGGCUCCAAGAGGGUGACUGUCAGACCAGAAGACCUCACCACGGACAAGAUCAGUGUCAUAUUUCAAGUGCUGAAGAACACGGUGUACUUAACCGAUGACCAUAAUGUAGCCAUCUUCCCCGAACCCGAUGGCCACUUCAUCUCUGUGGACCUGGUGGACCGGGGCCACUACGAGGUACAUGGAGAUGCGUCGGCAGCAGC